GACAGAGGUUGCAAACGUUGUGCGGAAUUACUGGGCAUAAAGCGCACGUAGGCGGUCCGUUAAGUCAUGUGUGAAAUCCCCCGGCUCAACCGGGGAAUUGCGCCUGAUACUGGCGGGCUAGAGGUCGAUAGGGGUGAGCGGAACUCCAGGUGGAGCGGUGAAAUGCGUAGAUAUCUGGAGGAACACCGGUGGCGAAAGCGGCUCACUGGAUCGAAACUGACGCUGAGGUGCGAAAGCUAGGGUAGCAAACGGG
rnacentral:rRNA from 1 species